rnacentral:lncRNA from 1 species
GAGACCCAGCGUCUCUAGAUCUCGUAUUUGAAUUUGUGGCGCUUGGUGUCCGCGAGUUGCCGAAUGAAGCUGAGCGUCUCAGUGGAACCAGGGAUCUCAGGGAGGGGAAGGUAUAAAAUUUUCAAAUGGAGGAGUAUACCUGAACCUAAUCAUGGAUGUGAUUUUAUAUACAGAUAAGCUGAUUCUAAAACUUACAAGAAUGGCAAAGAAACAAGAAGAGCUUAAACUGCAAUCAUCAACAGAGAAGCUUUCUGCAACCAAAGUGAAGACUGAAGCCUUAGGCUAUGGCAGAAGUUGGGCGCCUGAAGUACACGUGGAAAUAUGCCAACUGAACAUUGGACUACCACGUCAAGGGUCUCCUACCCCUGGGCCAUGGAUCAAUACCAGUCUGUGACCUGUUAGGAACCGGUAGCAGGAGUAACCUGGAUUCUUCCAUCUUUUGAAGUGGAAACUGUCCUAACCCCAUAACCUCGACAUCACUGUGAGUAAAACUCUUUUUAAUUAUAUGACUGUGUAGUGUGCACAUUAGCAUUGCUAAUCAGCUUACUGCAGUGGAUUUGUAUCUUCACUACUAAUGUUCAUAGAAUGUCCAUUGACAUAAUUGCAGGUCUGUAUCAGUGCUUAGAUGCUACUGUAUUUAAAACCACAGGUCGGAAUUUAUUAGUGCAUACCACAGUAUAUGGAAAAAUUUUAAACCCGAUACAAUUGUAUGUCACUAACUUGAGUUUACAUAGUUUUAUCUGAAAUCUUCAUGGUACAUAAUGCUAUAAUACACUGGAUCUUUAGCUUAAAAAUAAAAAGACACUAUCUCA